GCUGAAGUCUGGAGUUUUUGCAGCGCUCUUUGACGACUACACUUGUUUGAGAGUCAAUUGCAUGGAUUUUUGUCCAUAAUGAAGUUCAUCAUUUUUUUUCAUCUAUGUACCUUUUAGUUUCACACUUUCAUAACUACAUACACUGGAAUAAAUGGACAGACGGUUGAAGGGAUCCCAGAGUUUUCUGCUGUAACUACACUGGAUGGACAACAGAUUGAUUAUUAUGACAGUGAGAUAAAGAAGCUGAUUCCCAGACAGGACUGGAUGAAGGAGUUUACAUCUACAGACAUGUGGAAAGAAGACACUGAGAUCAGAAAAGAAGUACAGCAGAUCUACAAAUUAAAUAUUCAUGUUCUAAUGCAGCGAUUCAAUCAGUCACAUGGUGUUCAUACGUAUCAGAGGAUGUAUGGAUUUGGUUGGGAUAAUGUGACUGGAGCUUCAGAAGGGUUUGAUCAGUACGGUUAUGAUGGAGAGGAUUAUGUUGCCUUAGACAUGAAGGCGCUCAUCUACAUCGCAGCUGUACCACAGGGAGUAAUAACAAAGAUCAAGUGGGAUAAUGACAGAGCACAGCUUUACUUACUCAGUCAAUACUACCAACUUGAGUGCGUUAACUGGUUAAAACAUUUCUUGUCUUUGAGGAAAGUGGAUUUAGAGAGAAGAGCUCCUGAAGUGUCUCUGUUACAGAAAGAUCCCUCGUCUCCAGUGGUGUGUCAUGCCACAGGUUUCUACCCUUCAUCAGUGACUAUCACCUGGUUAAGAAAUGGACAGGAUCACUAUGAGGAUGUGGAUCUUGGAGAGACGCUACCAAAUGAAGAUGAGACCUUCCAGAAGACAUCUACCCUCAAUAUUAGACCAGACGAGUGAAAGAAGAACCAGUAUGUUUGUAUGGUAGAGCACAAGGCAAAGACCAUCCGGAAGAUUCUGACUGAGAAUGAGAUCAGGAGCAACAGAGAUUCUGAACACUGUUGUGGUUCUACUGAAGCUGUGAUCCGAAUGGUCCUCUCUGCUCUGGUGGGCGGGGCUGCUGUCAUUAAGCUUUUUUGAGAUGCGCCGUGCCUCGCCUCGCCCGAAAUGUAGGCGAGAGUAGGCGGCUGCAGUGAGGGGAGGAGUGAAAUAAGCGCAGUCAAGACGGACAGUUCUGCCCUCUCGAAGUGGAACAGAUACCUACAAGAUCAAAGUUGGAUAUCACAUUAUUCUCACUCGUAUGCUGUGCUACUGAUAAACAUGAUAUAAUUUCAGUUCUGUUGCUUUUAUAUGAAUAUAAAUAUGAUGAACAAGACACUCAAAGUGCUUGCUGUUUAAUUCCAUACGAAAGGCCUAUUUAUCAUCCAUUUUUAUUUUAAUUCAAACGUGUAUUUCAGAUUUUUAUAGAAAAUAUGACAAUCACAUAUCUCACAUAGAGAUCGCCCUGCUAAAAAAAAAAAAAACAAUAGAAGCCCAGUAGAAACAAUCACAGAAAUUCUAAUGGCUUCCAUUAAAAUACCAUUAUAAACCAUUAGCUUUUUCCAGUAAAACCAUUACAAAAUUCCUUUUUGUAGUGUGUUUUGGGCAUUUUUUCCAAUAGGAUUUAACAUCCCACCAAUAGAAUCCAUCACAUACCAGCAGACACCAUUAUAGUUUCCAUUAAAACCAAUACAUUUUCUGUUGUGUUUUGGGCAGGGUUCUAUUUAUUUAUAUUUUUUUCAGCAGGGCGCACUGUCAUAGUGUUUGGGAAUAUUCAUGCACAAUUUAAAUACAUAAUCGCCUGAAACCAGAUUAAAAAAAUAAAACAUUUUAGAAGAGAAUGCAACAUCACGGUUGUCUGAACCAAUGAGCAUUAAGCUGUGUCGUCAGUCGUUUGCCAUCAUGCUUUUGAUCAGCGCAGGUGGUGGAGAGCAACUGCGCGCAACUUUUUUAUGCCUUACAUCAGAACAAUACAACAAGUAACAUUCAAAUGUAAAAGAAAACAUAGAAAAAGAUGAACAACAUUAAUAUAAUGAAACAUAGCAUACCUGCUUACAAUAUUAUGAGUUCUAAUAGCCUUUUUACUUGUGCAAUUACAUAGGACUUUACAAUGCAGCUUGAAAUCGUUUAUAAAAUGAGAAAAGUUUGGUUUGGAGCCUGACCACUUCAUUUUAUGAAUAUGAAACUUCCCCAUUAAAAUUAACAAUUGUAUGAAGUAUGUUUUAUCUUUAUCAAAUCCAUGAUCACCAAAGUAUAUUAUUACAUCAAAUCCACACAGCUGCAAAGAAAUGUCCAACAUUUUCUUAAUAAAUAACUCCACACCAAUCCAAAAUAUUUUAGUGUGUAUAAAGUGAAAAAAUAAAUGAAAAAUAGUUUCCUUUUCACCUUUACAGAAUUUAAAGCGUUCCAGCUGGAUAUAUUCUACACAUUAUUUUAAAAGAAACCUCUUUUACUUUGUUAUUAAUUUUAUAGAAUUGUUAUAGAAUUUGUCUACUGUUCCCCAAGCUUUACGCCAAUUCACAUCUCCAAAUACAGAAGACCAGAAAAGGUGAGCUGGAGGAUAAA